rnacentral:rRNA from 1 species
GUGUUGGUCAUAGUGGUGGUGGCGGCGGGUGCGAUGGCGACAAAGCCACGGUGCCCCCCGAAAAAGCUUUUACCUUGCAAUCCAGCGAUCAAGAAAGAUAAGGAGCCCUCAGUGUUGUGUUGCUCGAACCUCCGGGCGCAAGAAGAGUGCCUCUGUCUGUACUUGCACGAUCCCAGGUACUAGCGCUACUUUGGGGUCGCCGACACCGGCAAGACAAUCACCUCCUGCGGCAUCCCCCUUCCAUAUUGUUUAUCAACUAUAAAUAUAUAG